AAAAUUCAGAGGUAAUUCGCUGGAUAUUCUUACUUUUCGGAGUUGAACUUUUUAUCCUCUUGUUUUAUUGCUCUUGCCUUGAGUUCUUGUUUUAGGACGGAACCCUUCGGGAUUUUGCCAAAGAUGCCACUUUCUAUUGCCAAGCUUGACAUCAAAGAUACCGAAGACCUGUUGGAAUAUAUAUACAAAUCCCGAAGAAGAUCAUUGCUGUAAUGUGUGCUCCACACCAUUUUAUCCUCAUUAUGAAUCCGAAAAGGUAACUUUCAUAGUCCCAAGAUUAUGUUUACUUACCUAGUGUUCUCAUUAUAUUAUUUUCAGUCUGCUCUAGAUAGACUCAUGCAAUCAGGCCAUGCUUGUUUCCCUUUAUGAAUUUGUAUGCUCUAAUUAGUGAUUGAUUCAACUGCCCAAGAGGCUGCCUCAUUUCCAUUUUUCAGUUUUUAAAAUUUCUAUUUGUUGAGAUAAUUGCCAGAUUUUUCAUUCUUCUUUCUUUCAACACAUGGGCUCUUUACUGAUUAUCUUUUUAUGUAGUUCACUUUGUAGAUUCUACUAAUAGAUCCAAUAAAAAUAAAUCACAUCAAGAAGUAGGUAUCCUAGGCACUAAUAUA